UACAGAGGUCUCAAGCGUUUGUUCGGAUUCAUUGGGCGUAAAGGGUGCGUAGGCGGCGCGGUGAAGUCGGGUGUGGAAAUCGUCGGGCUUAACUCCGAAACUGCAUUCGAGUACUGCCGUGCUUGAGGACUGGAGAGGAGACGUGGUAAAUUUACGGUGUAGCGGUGAAAAUGCGUAGAUAUCGUAAGGAAGACCCAGUGGCGA
rnacentral:rRNA from 1 species